UGGUCACAAGAAAGGGAUGGUUUCCGAAUCCGAAGCCGGAUCGGAAUUAAAAGGGAACACGGUGAGGCGUAGCCAACAGGCACCAAAUCCGUGACUGCCCCCGCAACUGUGAGCGGCGAGCGACCCUGGAAGCGCCACUGGGAGACCCCCGGGAAGGACCAGGCAAGCUGCGACCCGCAAGUCAGGAGACCUGCCAUUUCACCUGAAACUUC
rnacentral:ncRNA from 2 species